GACAAUUAAGGGUGCAUACAAUAAAGUUUAGUAGGAUUUGAAAAGAGGGUGAUUAUGAUUGAAUAUGGAUUGAAUGGAGGAUUGGUGACAAUAUAUAUAGAGUAAAGUUGAAUGUAAGAGUUGUAUGAUGAUUGAAUGGUUCAAUGGAAUCAGAGAUAAUUAAUGUUAUUAAUUUUCAAUAAAAUUUCAAACCAAAAAUCAGUAUAAUCCAUUGUUGUAAAAAAAUCGAUCUAGGCGGCCGAUCAAUCGGCAUCUAGACGUUUAGCGGACUCCAACCGCUUACGAAUAAGCAUUAUCGGGUAAGUUAAUCGGCCUUGGUCAAUAUCGGUCAAAGACGGUCGAAAUCGGACUAAUUCGUUCCAACUCAGACCCAAAUCGGACCAAGUCAGCUUAGCUAACUCUAUAAUACCCACCAGCUCAAAGGAGCCGACUAGCCCAAACUUAGCUGGGUUUGAUUCUCAAAGGAGCUGACUUCCCUUUUUAUAGAAUAAGUUUUGCCUUCAUCUCUUAUCCCACCAACGAUGUGGGAAACUCUUAACUCUUUAGUUUUUGUCACAGCUCCCUUGAACACUCUUUAGUUCUAUACAUACACAUAUCAGAUGACAUAUUUGAUUAUCCAAAGGCAGCAGAUCAAUACUCACAAACACUAGUUUGAUACAUUGUUUCAAGUAGGCCGUGAACUUAAAAUCAAUCAUUGUUUUCCAUUCAUCACUUCUCCACCAGUUCUCUAUGCCAUUUGGGUGAAAUAUAAGGGGACGACGAUGAUGACUCAAGUGAAUCAUAUUAGUCACAGAUUGGUGCUCCUACCUUGCUCGACUCCGAUUCCUGAAGCGAUCACUGACAUCUCUUUCAGCGCCAACUACCCCAUAGCUCUAUUAUUGGCAUCUCAAGCGAUCAACGACUCCUUCACUAGUAUCCCUUUAAUCGAUAUCCCUCUAAUUCAUUUUUUUCAUUUGUGUAUAAACCUUCAAUCGAUUUUAAAAACUGCAAUUUGCAUCUCGAUUUGAUAAUCAUUAGAUGUUUUGUGAUUUCGAAUUGAAUUCACAGACACUAUGAAUUGUUGAUGCCGAUAGUGCUUAUUAGUUAUGAUUUUGGAUUGGAUUUGCAGGUUAGUGUCUCGAUUAUCAGUAGCAAGAACAGAAUUCGAAUUGUGGUUUGAUGAGAAAUGGAAAAAUUACUAGAGCAGUCCACCUGCUCGAUGAAAUGCCUGAGUGAGAUGUAGUUUCAUAUACCACGUUAUUGAUGGGUUUGUAAAGAGAAGCAAGAUCAUGGGAGGGAAACAGAUGGUCCUCCAUCACAUAAUGAGGCAUUCAAAACAUAAAGAAAUAGACUAUUCAUUUUGAUUUAAGUGGAGAGGGCUCACAUUUUCCAAAUCUGAUUGUAGAAUUUAAUAAACUUUUAAAAAGUUCUUUAAUUCAAAAGUUGUAGAUUCAAGAAUUUGUGUGGAUGUUGCAGGGUGUUGCAUUGUAAAAUGUAUUUGAAUUGGCUUUGUUUCACAAUAAUACUAGAACAAGAGUCAAACCAUGUAGUUGAAUUGUUCUUAAUUACUUAUAUUUAAUAAUUAAUGGUCCCCGAUUAAUCCCCA
rnacentral:lncRNA from 1 species